GUGGGGAAUAUUGGACAAUGGGGGCAACCCUGAUGGAGCGACGCCGCGUGGAGGAUAAGGUCUUCGGAUUGUAAACUCCUGUCAUGCGUGAACAAGGUUGCUUGGUUAAUACCUGGGCAAAUUGAUGGUAACGCAAGAGGAAGAGACGGCUAACUCUGUGCCAGCAGCCGCGGUAAUACAGAGGUCUCAAGCGUUGUUCGGAAUCACUGGGCGUAAAGGGUGCGUAGGUGGCGUGGUAAGUCAGAUGUGAAAGCCCGGGGCUCAACCUCGGAACUGCAUCCGAUACUGCCAUGCUAGAGUACUGGAGAGGUGACUAGAAUUCUCGGUGUAGCAGUGAAAUGCGUAGAUAUCGAGAGGAAUACCAAAGGCGUAGGCAGGUCACUGGACAGUUACUGACACUGAGGCACGAAGGCCAGGGGAGCGAACGGGAUUAGAUACCCCAGUAGUCC
rnacentral:rRNA from 1 species